rnacentral:rRNA from 1 species
GACGGAGGGGGCUAGCGUUGUUCGGAAUCACUGGGCGUAAAGGGCGCGUAGGCGGUCGUCCAAGUCGGGUGUGAAAGCCCGGGGCUCAACCCCGGAAAUGCGCUCGAAACUGUGCGACUGGAGUCCGGUAGAGGUGAGUGGAACUCCCAGUGUAGAGGUGAAAUUCGUAGAUAUUGGGAAGAACACCGGUGGCGAAGGCGGCUCACUGGACCGGUACUGACGCUGAGGCGCGAAAGCGUGGGGAGCAAACAGG